UAAACACUAGCUAGCACCGCCGUUUCUUCUAAACCCUAGCGCCGCCGCUUCUUCUAAACCCUAGCGCCGCCGCUUCUUCUCUGUAAACCGUAGCGCCGUUUCUCUGUAAACCCUAACGCCGAUCUAUAACCACAAUGACGAGUACUCGAACUCCUUCUGCGACUAAUCAGACAAAAAGGAUGGAUAUUCCAGAACUCCCCCGUAGGUUAUACACAUUAGGGGAAGAGCCAGAACCCCACAAUAGCAUUUCGUAUCAUACGGAUAACACGAAGUUGCAUACUGCUCUUAGGGAAGCUCUCACUGAUGCUGAAUUUGAAGAGCUC